rnacentral:rRNA from 1 species
GGGGAAUAUUGCGCAAUGGGGGAAACCCUGACGCAGCAACGCCGCGUGAGCGAAGAAGGCCUUCGGGUCGUAAAGCUCUGUCAUCAGGGACGAAGGAAGUGACGGUACCUGAGGAGGAAGCCCCGGCUAACUACGUGCCAGCAGCCGCGGUAACACGUAGGGGGCGAGCGUUGUCCGGAAUUACUGGGCGUAAAGGGUGCGUAGGCGGUCUGUUAAGUCAGAUGUGAAAGACCUGGGCUCAACCCGGGAUGUGCAUCUGAGACUGGCGGACUUGAGUGCAGGAGAGGGAAGUGGAAUUUCUAGUGUAGCGGUGGAAUGCGUAGAUAUUAGGAAGAACACCAGUGGCGAAGGCGGCUUCCUGGACUGUAACUGACGCUGAGGCACGAAAGCGUGGGGAGCGAAC